rnacentral:tRNA from 1 species
GAUCAUAGCUUAACGGAAGAGCACCGGAUUGUGGCUCCGGCAUGUGCAGGUUCGAAUCCUGCUGGU